UACGUAGGGGGCAAGCGUUGUCCGGAUUUAUUGGGCGUAAAGAGCGUGUAGGCGGCCAUACAGGUCAGCUGUGAAAACUCGAGGCUCAACCUCGAGACGUCGGUUGAAACCGUAUGGCUAGAGUCCGGAAGAGGAGAGUGGAAUUCCCGGUGUAGCGGUGAAAUGACGCAGAUAUCGGGGAAGAACACCCGUGGCGAAGGCGGCUCUCUGGGACGGUAC
rnacentral:rRNA from 1 species